ensembl:lncRNA
AUGCAUUCUGGCUCCAUCCAGCUAAUUUUUCAUGCACAAAUUGCAGGUGCCAAGCAUAUUUGGCACAGUCCAGGAAUGCCUGGACAAAACUGUGAGUUCUCCUGGCAGCUGGGCUUGUGGAAUAUCCACAGAGGAGCAUGGAGCUUCGUUUUCAAAUCCUAGCUUUGCCUGAUAGGAGCUACAUCUCUCAGAUGGAUUCAUUAUAAUCAUGGGACUGUAGGCUUUGAUUCUGAGAAGAUGUUCUAACCCUGGCCUACUUGCUGGUAUCUCAAUUUCAUUUUUCAUGGUGAAAUCACAUUGGUUCUGGUAUUGUCAAGACCAUCUCUCUCUGCAUAUGGCUGCAGAAUAAGCUAUUUCUAAUGUCAAGUUACAAAAUACAUUGAAAUGACAAGAGUCAUUUUAGAAGAAGGUAUGGAGGAGCAGAAAGGAGAAAGCAUGCACUGCACCAGGAUGUGGGACCAUCUCUUUGACCUCUGGAGACGUCUGAAAGAACAUGGGUGCUCAUAGCUAAAGAGCAGUGGAUGUCAGACAAUGCUAAGAGACGAUCUUAAAUGAUUAGAGUUUAUUUAAGGAAUGUCUUAUCUGUGGAACACAGAGUGAAUUUACAUGUACACAUGUGCCUGUGAAUGCAUUAAUAACCAUGUAUAUAAGUAAAAUUGCCCUAUAAUAUGGUGUCAAGUAGAAUAAUGCAUGGAAAUUGAUAAAGAAUAUUUAAAAGCUUUUUUUUUUCUUUUUCUUAGCCAAAAUCUUUCUUUUUCUUAUCUCUGCUAAUCGUUGUUAUAAAAACUUAUCUGUGCUCUACUGCUUAACUAAAGUUUGCUAAUGUUAUUUCUCCUAGCUUGAUUUCUACUUGCAAUCCUUUCACAUAUAGUUUUCAUCAGCACAAAUGCUUCUUGCUCCCAUCAGUUUCAAAUGUAAACCUUCAUGCUUUUUAUCUAUACUUAGAGAGAAUUUAUUUAUUUAUUACUGUGUGGAAGAAGUGGUAAAAUAUACCAAGAGAGGAACAGCGAUGCAAAAGAGGAGAAUCUACUGUUGCUAAGACAAGUUAUUGUGUGUUUUAACUGACCACAGAUUUACAAGGGAUAAUAAAGUAUACAGCAAUUUCCUUUGACCACCGCUACUAGUAUAACAGAUAAAGAGUAAUUUAAAUUAAAUCAGAAUAAUUAUUAUAAAACAGGCUUUGUUAGAUAUAUAAAUAUAAAUCACACCAGAACAGAUUAUUUUAAAAUGGUUGUCCCAGGGGCUUCAGAAAGACUGAAUGAUGAAGAAAGAAAAAGGCCUUGGAAUGAGUCCCAAGAGGGCACUUUUAGAUGCUUUCUGUUUUCCAUUAUUAUAUUAUAUUAAACAUAUUGAAAAAAGCUUUAUAGAUUUGUAAUCUCAUGACAAAAAUAAGGUGACAAGAUCUUGAAUUAUUUUUCAGGUACUUUCAGCAGCUGACAUUCACUCUGUGAAUUUUUAAAUACAUCUACACUCUUUAAUUUUAUAAAAUAAGGCAUAUUGUCUACACUUUAUAAAAAAUGUUAGAUAAAGAUGUCUAUCUACAUGUUAGAUCAUGCUGAAUUAUGAGAAAUAGCGAUAUUUGCUUACUUACAUUAUGAGUUCAAAUGAGGGUAGUAAUGAAUAAAAUAUUGUUCAUUAUUCAUAUUUUUAAAAUAAAUUAAAACUUUUUGCAUUUAUUUAUUUAUUUAUAAGCUAUUCCAUAGGAUAUUUUGGAAAAAUAUAUGCUCAUUCAUGGAUGGUUUUUCAUGUUAGGAAUUUAAAAAUAGUAGUUUAGAGUAGCUACAUGAAAUGUAACAAUUAAAGUAGGAUAUAUACUUAAAAUUAGAACAGCAUCAUUAAUAUAAUAUAUAUACUUACAGCAUGAAUAUAUAGUGUUGCCAUAAGUAAGAAAAAACAGGAAACAUACAUGCAACUUCCAGAUCAGAGGUUUCAGAGUUGCAACAGUGGCCACUUUGUAAAGAAAUUACCAAAAGCUGCCAAUAAGUCAUAUUGAUCUGCAUGAAACACUGUUAAUCUACAAAACUUAACCAAAGAAUUUAUCAAUGGAAAAGAAUGUAAUAAUUUAAGAAAAAAUGGGCAAGGGGGGUGUUCUUUUUUUUUUUUUUUUUUUUUUUUCUGCCUAAUACUGAUGUAUUAGUAGCUGAGUAGUUAAUCAUCAUAUUUUUCUGAAGAGUUAUUGAAAUAAAAAUGUAACCAUUUCAAAAGGAUUCUCAUAAAGUAAAAAGAAGUGAGAGACUUUAUUAAUAUAGGCAAAUAGUUGAAAAGCAAGAAAAAUAAGGGAAGAUUAAAUAUUGUCCACAUUUUAUGUUGCUUUCAUAUCACUCCCAAAUUCAAGAGCUUCGUCUAUUACCUAUAAUAUAUCAGUAAAUUACUAAUACAUUUUUUGAAAACAUUAAAAACCCAGUAUGGAACACCAAAAAAGUUAUCAAAAUUUUAAACUGAUUUUCUUUCAUUCAUCUGGUCUGCCCUUACUAUCACAUAAAUUAGUAUAUGUGCAUGUUUGCUUGAAUACCAAUACACAUGCAUAUGCAAAAUCAAUGUUUGACUCAUGGAAAGCUUUUGGACAGAGUUAAUCUGAUUGAGGGUGAUCUUAUUUUUAUUUUUAGUAUGUGCAGAUCAACAAAUGUGACUGGAAAAAAAAACUUCAUUGUAAAGUUCCUGAGUUUAGUGUACUAAGAUAAAUAAUAAGAAAACUGAAUUACAAUGCAAGACUUACAUAGUUACAUAUUGCUUUCUGUUAUCCACUCGGAAAUUGAAGGGAAAAAUGCAUUCCAGAGAACUAAACCACGCUGCAUAGAGUGUUUAAAGUGAAAUCCUAGAUUUUACCUCUCAGUCUUUUUAGAAAGAGAGUAAUAAAACUUGUCUUGCUAACUCUCUUAAGUUAAUCUCCCAUGGACACUGAGACUGGAACUUACAAUGGACUUCCAUGAGAACUUGGCUUAUAUGAUUUUAUCUGUUGUUGUUUCUUUCUUGUUUGUCUGUUUGUUUGUUUGAAGUAGAAAGAGGAAGGUAACUCUUUCCUAAAUGUCAUUUAAGCACAAGGCCUAAGUCAAUAAGGGCAAUGAAUUGCAUGGGAAUUGCUGUUGGAAGGAGAGACAUUUGAACUCCUAAGUUCAACAUUUCCCAAGGCUACACAAGUAUUUGGUUGAGACUUUCUGGAUCCUUCCUUUUUUACCAAAAAUGUACGACAGUAUUCAUCCUCCAGUAAAUGUGUCAUCAAAUUUAAUGGGUUCAUGUCUAAACAUAUAUUUUCUACUAUAUCUAAAUAAUUUUUAAAUGAUCUCCUGUCACAAAUGAGUAACUAAACUCUAGAAAUAGGUAUGCAAAAAGCGGGUAGCACCUAGUAACCAGAAAAUUUUUAAGCAAUCUCUUAUUCUUUCUGUACUAAUUUAUUUUUCAAAGAGGUCUCAUAAACACAUUCAAAUAGUAUUUAAUAUUUUGCAUUUUAUUUCUUAUCUUUUCAAUAUCAUUUACAAGAAAUCUGUAUUUAAACCUCAUGCCAACAUGAACUUAGAAAGAAAAUAUCAACAGAAUGCCCGUAUAAUUUUUUCCAUAUUAGACCAGAAGCAUGUUAUGGUUUUAUCCAAGUAAAACUACAUUCUCCUACAUGCCUACUAGCAAUGAUAUGUCACUAUCAUAGAGUUAAACUUCUUGUGAAUUCUACCUAGAGCUUUCUCUCUGGAGCCUUUAGUGUGCAGGAGCCUCACUUGCAGCAUUUCCUGAUUCUGAUUAUUUUCUUUUGUAAUCUUAUCAUUUUUGUCUGAAUGUGUUCACCUUUUUAGUGGUUGGCAGUAACUGUAGGAAACAUUUGGAUAUGGCAACUUUCUGUUUAAAGAUGUAAGCAGCAUCAUUUAACAUGUAAUGGAUAUACUUGGAAAUGGAAAAAAAUAAUUCAGGUUUCUUACUGACACAGUGUAUGGGCACAUGAAGUGCCAGUUCUCAUAAAAGCUUCUGUUUUCAUGGAGCCUGUGCCAGCCUCACUUAGUACAGCCUGGACAACCAGUGGCUUCUCAAUGUCAUAAUUAAAAAAUUGUUCUGUGAGUUAGCAAAACUGUUAUGCUCCCCAGACAUAAACCUUCCCAAGGGUUUUCCAAAAUUCAUGAAAAAGAAGAAAACCCUCAUCAUUGCUCCAGAUCUUUCUGUGGUCUGGCUUCUUCCCAGUGUGAGUGUGUGCACUUUAAUCACAGAAGAGCUUGUGUGAGAAGAGGAAGAAAGAUGAAAACACAGAGCCUUCUCUGUCCUCUUUGUUGCUGAGGUUGCUUAUGACUCCAUUAAUUUCCUCUUUAUUUCCUCCCCAUGUUCUAUUAUCUUGCCACAUGAUGCCUAGCCAUCUGUGAAUGGAGUAAGGACUUAAUUGGAUUCUUUUCCUUGAACUCCAGAGUUCAUGAAUGUUGUGAGUUUAGGACACAGAAUCACUGCUCUUCACAUCAUUUAGUUUCCUGAAGCACAACAGAGAGGAAAAGAACAGGCCAAAACCCAGUUUUGGACUUGCAAGAAAAUACAAUCAAUCAGUUACCAAUACAUCUGUGUAGAAUUUAGAUCUUGUUAUUAGAAAAAAAAUGUGUGUGUGAAAUCUUCACCAAUGGGGCCAUUUUUAGAGUGUUGGAAGCUACUGAGAAAAUACCUAAAACUGAGUUCUCUGGUAAGUACCUUUUUCUGGUUUCAGCUGGGAAAGCAUUAAUUUUCUUCAAAGUGUCUAGUAUGGCACCAUAUUUAGGAUUUAGGAGGAAAAUAAUGCGGAUAACACACUGACAUUAUUGCUAAUCUGUCACUAAAAUGCAUUCUCAUAAUUUGCAAAGGUAAGAAAAUAAGGGGAAAAAAUCAAAGCAAUAAUAGUAGUAUAUAUAUAUUUUUUUUUCCUAAAAGAAGAAAUUCUAAAAUCACAUCCAGUAUAUCCAGCCAUCACCUAAAUUACUUGGAGCAUAAUUUUCCAGGUAGGGUAGGCAUGAGUAGACAAACUGCAGAAAUUUUCUUGCCAUGGUUCCAUCUCAAACCCGGUUUUAGACGUAUCUUGGAAUUUCUAUUCUUGUCAAUAACACAGCUUAUAUAAUGUGUCUAGAUCAAGGCUUUGUACAUCAAACCCAUUGCUUUCCUGAAAUACAAAUAAUAAUCAAAACACUCCUGA